rnacentral:rRNA from 1 species
UGUCCGAGUUUGUAAUCUCUAGAAAUGUUUUCCGCGUUGGACCGCACACAAGUCUGUUGGAAUACAGCGGCAUAGUGGUGAGACCCCCGUAUAUGGUGCGGACGCCCAGCGCUUUGUGAUACAUUUUCGAAGAGUCGAGUUGUUUGGGAAUGCAGCUCAAAUUGGGUGGUAAAUUCCAUCUAAAGCUAAAUAUUGGCGAGAGACCGAUAGCGAACAAGUACCGUGAGGGAAAGAUGAAAAGCACUUUGGAAAGAGAGUUAACAGUACGUGAAAUUGUUGGAAGGGAAACGCUUGAAGUCAGACUUGCUUGCCGAGCAAUCGGUUUGCAGGCCAGCAUCAGUUUUCCGGGAUGGAUAAUGGUAGAGAGAAGGUAGCAGUUUCGGCUGUGUUAUAGCUCUCUGCUGGAUACAUCUUGGGGGACUGAGGAACGCAGUGUGCCUUUGGCGGGGGUUUCGACCUCUUCACACUUAGGAUGCUGGUGGAAUGGCUUUAAACGAC